UGUACUUAGCUCAAAUGCACUAGAUCAGACAUCUUAUGUGCUGAUAAUCUUUUGGCAUAAAGUAGCACUGCGCGUACACGCCACCACCAUAUUUGGUGUUAAAGAUGUUUUUCCGUUACUACUGAUUUGGGCUUAUUCCUUAUGCAUCUCAGAAUAGAUCACACCCCCUUGAUCUUCAAAAUGAUGCCUACCUUGUGGGAUUCACUGAAUCAGACCAUCUGUCUGACCGCAUAAGGUACGUUCCCGCAUGGUUAUAUCUUUGCCAUUAAGGAACACCGCAAUAUCUUUGAGGUCAACCAGACUUUUGUUGAAAAACCUUUUAAUUGCUCCAAGACUCACUAUGUCUCAUCACGUGAGAGAUAUGGUUGAGAACUCUUGUUGAGCAUAUUCAAAAUCCCUGCAUUUUUCAUCCAUCGUUGAGUCCCAAUGACGAUCCAUGAAUACAACGUCGUAUGUAUCGA
rnacentral:lncRNA from 1 species